rnacentral:lncRNA from 1 species
GUCCUGGCAAGAGUGUGAUUUAAAAUCUUCCUUUGGCUAAAUUUCCAUGUGAGAGAUCAAUUUUUACAUAGACACAAACUAAGACAUAUUUGGUGGGAAAGGCUUUUGAAUGUAAGCUUGAAUCUUGACUAAUUAAUGGUCAACAAUAUAGUUUCAAAACUAAAUUGUCUUAUCUUAGGGACCUGAAAAACUAUUCAACAUUUGUCUACCAAGAGGUAUUUAGAUUGUUUUCUCCUCUUCCCUUCCAAAACAAUCCCAGCAAAGAUGCUGUAAGUGUCAUGUACAUUUAUGGCUACACUCAAGAUCUCAAGGAGAGAGUGUGCCACAUUCCUUGUAUUCCCAGCCAAAGACCGUCACUGAGGAUGCUCUGGGAACCUGAAAAGGAGGAACUGACAGCAUUUGAGACCGGAGAGGCCGAGGCACUGAGUGCUAGGUGGCACAAGGGGCAAGACUAGAAUUCAAGGCCUCUGAUGCCCAAGACUUCCCAACAUUGUCUUCUCCCGCGUUCCCUCCAGG